GCGUUAUUGAAGAGUCCCAAAAUAGGACGAAACAACUGUCCAGUAC
rnacentral:hammerhead_ribozyme from 1 species